UAACCAUGAUGAGGGCAAGCUCGUCCCAAUUCCUCGAACCUUUCCCAUGCUUCACUCAACAUCUCGCCAUCUAAUUGAGAGAAUGUAGCUAUUUGACGUUUUAGCUC